UGUUGGGAUCUCUGCGGAAGGGGU
rnacentral:piRNA from 1 species